rnacentral:rRNA from 1 species
AACGAACGCUGGCGGCGUGGUUCAGGCAUGCAAGUCGAACGAUGGUGAGAGAAAUCGAACCAUAGUGGCGGAAGGGUUAGUAACACGUGGGCAAUCUGCCCUCGAGUCGGGGAUAACAUCUCGAAAGAGGUGCUAAUACCCGAUGAUAUUUUCCGGUCGCAUGAUCGGAUUAUCAAAGGUGGCGCAAGCUGCCGCUUGAGGAGGAGCCCGCGGCCUAUCAGCUAGUUGGUGAGGGUAACGGCCCACCAAGGCAUUUGACGGGUAGCUGGUCUAAGAGGACGAUCAGCAACAUUGGGACUGAGACACUGCCCAGACUCCUACGGGAGGCUGCAGUCGAGGAUCUUUAGCAAUGCCCGAAAGGGUGACUAUGCGACGCCGCGUGCAGGAC